rnacentral:lncRNA from 1 species
AACACAACAGUUACAGUGAUGUCAUCUCUUCACCUUACAGACAGGUCCUUAUAACCUAGAAACUUGUCUGAGCGUGGUGCUGCUGUCUCUCGCCAUGGUCAUGGCUGGCUCAGGAAACCUAAAGGUUUUGCAGCUUUGUCGCUUCUUACACAUGAAAACGGGUGGUGAAAUGAACUAUGGUUUUCACUUAGCCCACCACAUGGCCCUUGGACUUCUAUUUUUGGGAGGAGGAAGGUACUCUUUGAGCACAUCAAAUUCUUCCAUUGCUGCUCUUCUCUGUGCCCUUUAUCCGCACUUCCCAGCUCACAGCACUGACAACCGGUG